AACCACUCACGCCCGGCGUGGUGUUGGGGCACGCGGUUCCGCGGCCCUCAAAAGCAGUGGCGGCGCCGGUAGGCUCUAAGCGUAGUACAUACUCCCGCUAUAGAGUUCCUCCGGUGGCUCGCCAGAACCCCCCAUUUUUACA
rnacentral:misc_RNA from 1 species